UGGCGAAGGAAGUCUCAAUAGUGGGGUCCGCUGCAUCCAGCCGGGACUUGAAAGACGAACAUUUUGCCACACCCAGCGUGUGCCCUCCUGUAAGACAAGAAUUUGUAUGAGUGAAGCCACGGUUGCCGAAGAAGGUGAUAAGUUGGGAAGAGUUUAAGGUUGGUGAGGGUAGAUUGAUGGUGUCUUCUAUCUUUGAUCUUGUUCCAUCUCUUCUUCCUUUAGGAAUCUCAUAAAAUGGACCACUAGCCUGCACAGUUCAUAAUCAUAUUAUUCCUCCGUUUUCUAAAAAUAGAAAUUCUUUCCUUUUUGGACCGUUUCCUAAUAGCUAGAAACAGUCCAUUUUAGGAAAGUUCUUUCUCUACGAGGAAAACAGCAUCUCUUGCAGCCAUGGCAACAAUAUCAGCACAAGAAACAACACCAGGGCAUUGUUUCUCCAAUUCUUCUUUAGCGGC